ACCUAUGUGAUCAGGUUAGCGAGGGGAGGGCAGGCGGCGACGAGCGCUCCCGAUGAGCCGGGAAGCGCCGGCAGAUGUCUCACCUAUAGAGAGCAUUUAACAAGCACAACCAGAGCCAUGAGAGGAACUGAGGAGGUUAAUAAGAGGCCUGCUACACAUUACAGACAGGAUGGCACAAAAAGAGCUGGAGGUUUAACUGGAGCAGGGAACUGGGUUUAUGAGCAACCUGGUGGUUCUCUGGAUGAGACUAGAAGGAAGACGUACACGUGUGGUCAACAUUAUCGGCACCCUCGAUUGUGGUAGUAGUGGGUAGCACUCUCACCUUUCUGUGUGGAGUCUGCAUAUUCUCCUCAUGUCUGCAUGGGUUUCCUCCUGUGCUCCGGUUUCCUCCCACAAUCCAAAGACGUGCAAGUGAGGUGAAUUGGAGAUACUAAAUUAACUGUGUUUGAUAUAACCUUGAACUGAUGUGUGACGAGUAACUACCGUUUCUGUCAUGAAUGUAACCAAAGAGUAUAAA